rnacentral:rRNA from 1 species
GCCAGACUCCUACGGGAGGCAGCAGUGGGGAAUAUUGGGCAAUGGGCGAAAGCCUGACCCAGCAACGCCGCGUGAAGGAAGAAGGCUUUCGGGUUGUAAACUUCUUUUGACAGGGAAGAGCAGAAGACGGUACCUGUCGAAUAAGCCACGGCUAACUACGUGCCAGCAGCCGCGGUAAUACGUAGGUGGCAAGCGUUGUCCGGAUUUACUGGGUGUAAAGGGCGUGUAGCCGGGCUGACAAGUCAGAUGUGAAAUCCGGGGGCUCAACCCCCGAACUGCAUUUGAAACUGUCAGUCUUGAGUACCGGAGAGGUCAUCGGAAUUCCUUGUGUAGCGGUGAAAUGCGUAGAUAUUAGGAGGAACACCAGUGGCGAAGGCGGCUUACUGGACUGUAACUGACGUUGAGGCUCGAAAGCGUGGGGAGCAAACAGGAUUAGAUACCCCGGUAAUG